GUUGUGUUUUAGAGUUGAAGAGUUUCUACUAUCUGAACUUAGGAAUUCUAGAAAUUCCCAAGUUCAACUGACGAAAACCAUUGUUUCAACAACUGAACUUUGGUAUCUAAAGUUCCCUACUUUGAUAGUUGAAGUUACUUCUACCUGUCUUAUUUUCUUUUUGUUCUAAGGCUCUAAAACUUAUUUUUAUAUCCCAAAUAAACCUAGAAUUGUUUGAUGUAUGUAUAGAGUUAUAGAGAUCCUAAUAACUCAUGAAGGUCUA
rnacentral:misc_RNA from 1 species